AUUGAACGCUGGCGGCAGGCCUAACACAUGCAAGUCGAACGAGUUGCGGACGGGUGAGUAAUGUCUGGGAAACUGCCUGAUGGAGGGGGAUAACUACUGGAAACGGUAGCUAAUACCGCAUACCAUCGGAUGUGCCCAGAUGGGAUUAGCUAGUAGGUGGGGUAAAGGCUCACCUAGGCGACGAUCCCUAGCUGGUCUGAGAGGAUGACCAGCAACACUGAAACUGAGACACGGUCCAGGCUCGUACGGGAGGCAGCAGGGGUGAAUAUUGAACAAUGGGCGAAAGCCUGAUGCAGCCAUGCUGAGGGAAUGAAGAAGGCCUUCGGGUUGUAAAGUACUUUCAGCGGGGAGGCGUUACCCGCAGAAGAAGCACAGGCGAACUCCGUGCCAGCAGCCGCGGUAAUUC
rnacentral:rRNA from 1 species